rnacentral:rRNA from 1 species
AUUGAACGCUGGCGGCAUGCCUUACACAUGCAAGUCGAACGGCAGCGGACCUUCGGGUGCCGGCGAGUGGCGAACGGGUGAGUAAUAUAUCGGAACGUACCUUUCAGUGGGGGAUAACGUAGCGAAAGUUACGCUAAUACCGCAUAUUCUGUGAGCAGGAAAGCAGGGGAUCGCAAGACCUUGCGCUGAUUGAGCGGCCGAUAUCAGAUUAGCUAGUUGGUGAGGUAAAGGCUCACCAAGGCGGCGAUCUGUAGCGGGUCUGAGAGGAUGAUCCGCCACACUGGAACUGAGACACGGUCCAGACUCCUACGGGAGGCAGCAGUGGGGAAUUUUGGACAAUGGGCGCAAGCCUGAUCCAGCCAUGCCGCGUGAGUGAAGAAGGCCUCGGUUG